UCCCCGUGACCGUGAAAUGCCCUUAACAUCAAUACAGAUCAAGAGGAGCAGGCAUUAAGCACACUAACUAGUAGCUCAGAUGUCUGCUAAACCACACCCCCAAGGAAACCAGCAGUGAUAAAAAUUUAGCAAUGAACGCAAGUUUGACUAAGUUAUGCUACUCUAGGGUUGGUAAAUCUCGUGCCAGCCACCGCGGUCAUACGAUUAACCCAAAUUAAUGAACAUACGGCGUAAAGCGUGAUUAGAAAUAUAACGUAAAAUAAAAUCAAAUAACAACUAAGCUGUAGAAAGUAAUAGUUGCAAAUAAAAAUAAACAACGAAAGUGAUUUUAUAGCCUUCGAACUCACGAUAGCUAAGACCCAAACUGGGAUUAGAUACCCCACUAUGCUUAGCCCUAAACUUAAAUAAUUCUUCAACAAAAUUACUCGCCAGAGAACUACAAGCCAGAGCUUGAAACUCAAAGGACUUGGCGGUGCUUUAUACCCACCUAGAGGAGCCUGUUCUAUAAUCGAUAAACCCCGAUAAACCUUACCACUCUUUGCCAACUCAGCCUAUAUACCGCCAUCUUCAGCGAACCCUAAAAAGGAAUAAAAGUAAGCUCAAUUACCCCCGUAAAAACGUUAGGUCAAGGUGUAGCCUAUAGAGUGGAAAGUAAUGGGCUACAUUUUCUUCUUCAGAACAUACGAAAGCCCUUAUGAAACCCUAAGGGCCAAAGGAGGAUUU
rnacentral:rRNA from 1 species